rnacentral:rRNA from 1 species
AAACCCUGACGCAGCGACGCCGCGUGGGUGAUGAAGGCCUUCGGGUCGUAAAGCCCUGUCGUCGGGGAAGAAACGGUGGGCGGCUAAUACCUGUCCGCCUUGACGGUACCCUACAAGAAAGCACCGGCUAACUCCGUGCCAGCAGCCGCGGUAAUACGGAGGGUGCGAGCGUUGUUCGGAAUUACUGGGCGUAAAGCGCGUGCAGGCGGCCGACUAAGUCCGGUGUGAAAGCCCGGGGCUCACCUCCGGAAGUGCGCUGGAAACUGGUUGGCUAGAGUACGGGAGAGGGAAGUGGAAUUCCUGGUGUAGCGGUGAAAUGCGUAGAUAUCAGGAGGAACGCCGGCGGCGAAGGCGGCUUCCUGGACCGAUACUGACGCUGAGACGCGAAAGCGUGGGGAGCAAACAGGAUUAGAUACCCUGGUAGUCCACGCUGUAAACGAUGGGUACUAGGUGUCGCGGGUGUUGACCCCUGCGGUGCCGCAGCUAACGCAUUAAGUACCCCGCCUGGGGAUUACGGUCGCAAGAUUA